rnacentral:rRNA from 1 species
UCGGUUAUCGAUGGGGAUGCGUUCCAUUAGUUAGUUGGCGGGGUAACGGCCCACCAAGACGACGAUGGAUAGGGUUUCUGAGAGGAAGGUCCCCCACAUUGGAACUGAGACACGGUCCAAACUCCUACGGGAGGCAGCAGUGAGGAAUAUUGGUCAAUGGACGAGAGUCUGAACCAGCCAAGUAGCGUGAAGGAUGACUGCCCUAUGGGUUGUAAACUUCUUUUAUAUGGGAAUAAAACAGGGUAUGCAUACCCUCUUGUAUGUACCAUAUGAAUAAGGAUCGGCUAACUCCGUGCCAGCAGCCGCGGUAAUACGGAGGAUCCGAGCGUUAUCCGGAUUUAUUGGGUUUAAAGGGAGCGUAGGUGGAUUGUUAAGUCAGUUGUGAAAGUUUGCGGCUCAACCGUAAAAUUGCAGUUGAAACUGGCAGUCUUGAGUACAGUAGAGGUGGGCGGAAUUCGUGGUGUAGCGGUGAAAUGCUUAGAUAUCACGAAGAACUCCGAUUGCGAAGGCAGCUCACUGGACUGCAACUGACACUGAUGCUCGAAAGUGUGGGUAUCAAACAGGAUUAGAUACCCUGGUAGUCCACACAGUAAACGAUGAAUACUCGCUGUUUGCGAUAUACAGUAA